CACACAUUUUGAAAAGUUGCUUAUUUUACAUAAUUUACUGUGUAAUUGCAAAUGCUUCAUUUCAAAAUGAAAUGUGAGGUUUAGUGCUUGGUUUGUUCCCUCUGAUUGAUCCCACGCACACAGAACUGGCACUGCUUUCUUUUGUGUGCUGAAAAAACUAAGUAUCGAGGCACGGCUCUCAAUAUGCUACAUAGUGCAAAUAGCGUAAUGUGCAGCCCAUUAACAAGAUAGCUAAGCAUCAUGGGAGUUUAAAUACACAGAAGUUAUUCUGUCAAAGGUUAC